GCCGGCCCACCGCUCGCCGCGUGGGAUCGGAUCGGACGGGUGACGACAUCCUCGCCGCGCGGCAGGGCCCGCCCCCGCCGCCGUACGCCCGACGUGGAGCGGUGGGGGGUGCCUGCCUUCCUGCCUGCCUGCCUGCGGCUGCGGCUGCGGCGGCGGGGCUCCUCCCCCAUCCUCUCUCUCGCCGCCUCCGCUCGCGCGUAUAAAAUGCACGCGGACUGUUCGAGAAGGGGCUGCUCGUUUUUUUUUCCGCAUCAGCAGAAGAAAUUCCGCGGCGGCGAUGCCGUUCUUCGAGGGAAUGAUGGAAUCGUCGUACGUGCCGUACCUCCGCGCGCACCUCCAGCAGAUAUCGGCGUCGUUGUCCACGGCGAGCUGCGCCCCGCCUGUCGCCGAGGAGGAGGAGUGCCGGGACGAGGCGGCGGCGCUGGGGCUCAAGAUGCUGGCCAUCGCGGCCAUCCUCGUCUCCGGCGCGACGGGCGUCGCGAUCCCGCUCGUCGGCCGCCGCUGGCGCGGGCGGGGAGCGGCGCCGCCCUCGUCCUCCUCCACCGGCGGCUUGUUCGUACUCGCCAAGGCGUUCGCGGCGGGGGUGAUCCUGGCCACGGGGUUCGUGCACAUGCUGGACGACGCCAACGACGCGCUCUCGGACCCCUGCCUCCCGGCCGUGCCCUGGCGCCGGUUCCCGUUCCCGGGGUUCGUCGCCAUGCUCGCCGCGCUCGGGACGCUCGUCGUCGACUUCGUCGGCACGCACAUGUACGAGCAGAAGCACCGCAGCGAGGAGGAACAGGCCGCCGCUGCCAAUGGCAGCUCGCGAGAGGACAUCGCGGCGGCGCUGCUCGAGGAUGGCGCGCUCGCGGCGAGGGGCGACGUCGAUGGGAGGGACGGGGGAGGCCACAAGGAGGACGCCAUGCACAUCGUGGGCAUGCGCGCGCACGCUGCCGCGCACAGGCACAGCCACGCGCACGGGCGUGGCUCAUGCCAUGGAGGAGGGACAUAUGACACCCACGCCCAUGGCCAUGGACACGAUGAAGAGCCGUCUCAGUCUCGCCACGUUGUUGUCUCGCAGGUUCUCGAGCUUGGGAUUGUGUCACACUCGGUGAUCAUUGGCCUAUCGUUGGGCGUUUCACAGAGCCCCUGUACCAUCAGACCUCUGGUUGCUGCCCUCUCCUUCCACCAGUUCUUUGAGGGCUUUGCAUUGGGUGGCUGCAUUUCUGAGGCUCAGUUCAAGAGUUCCUCUGCACUCCUGAUGGCCAUUUUCUUCGCCAUCACAACACCUGCCGGGAUCACUGUGGGGGCAGGCGUCGCAUCGUUCUACAACCCCAACAGUCCGAGGGCGCUGGUGGUGGAGGGCAUCCUGGAUUCCAUGUCGGCCGGUAUACUGAUCUACAUGGCCUUGGUGGACCUCAUUGCUGCUGAUUUCCUCAGCAAGAGGAUGAGCUGCAACCCGAGGCUGCAAGUUGGUUCCUACAUUGCGCUGUUCCUUGGUGCCAUGGCCAUGGCAUCUCUUGCCAUCUGGGCUUAGUCAGCAGGAUGGAAGUGAAGCAAAUGCUUGAGAGGACCUGCUUAAUUGAAUUACAUAGCAGCAGGUCUGGUGAAUAUGGGUGUUGCAUCCUCAUCACUUGUUGGUUCAGUCAGUGACUGGCUAGAAUCCACUUGCCAUUUUCAGAUAUCAAUUCAUGGAUCCUGUGAGGCCGGGAGGGAGGACCCAUUACCAUUACCUGCUGCACUCACGUUGCACGGGAAAGUCUGACGACUCUUUGAUUAGUUGCGACCUGCAAACCUGCUGCAGAAAUCUGGCUCUACGUUCGGAAGGAACUCAAGCAUAAGUGGGUUGCCAGGGACAGAAUAGGGAGAAGCUCCAAUGGAAGACUCCAGCGAGUCUCUGAAGGCCCAGUGACAGCAUGAUACGACUGCCACUCGAUCAGUCAAACAGGUAAUGAAAUCUUCAAGGGAGGAUGAAGACAGAUGCGGGAGAGGCAGUAGCACUGAACUCUCAAGGCGGACUCGGGAGGAGGCUGUGACAACAAAACGACAUGACGUGGCUGCCACCCAGGACAGAAGGAAGAAUCUGGCACGCCGUUUGGUUCAAGCACACUAUUCCUUAGCGCAUGCAAACCG